UUGUUUCAGUUGAUGUCCAGAUGGCAAGCAGUACAGACGUGUUUCUUGGAGCUGCCAAACAGGAGCUGUGGUAAGUAUUGUAGUAUUAAUUUGUCUCAAUAAACGAUGAUGAAUGAAAACUGAUGUCGAUUCUUUUUGUACAGUUUUAGGUAUUAGCACUCUAUACAAAACUCUGUCGGUCGGUGUUUGUGAAUGUGAGCUUAAUGUUUGAGUAGAACAAAAAUGUCUUUACUUUUGUGAUCGCCAGUUGUCUGUGAUGUAAAGUGGAAAAAACACAGCUAUGAAGCAUACAAUUGUUUCAAUAUUUUAUCAAUGAUAGUGUGCUAUGCAUGUUUUGAUUUAGUUCGUUUCAGAUACGACAUGACAUGAAGAGUUGACAGUCGAACAGAGCUGAGCAAUGCAGAAAGGUAAGUGUGUUUCAUUUAAGUAUAAACACUUGUAUUUUGUUUUUAUAUGGUAUGUUUUGUGCAUGCUAUGUUUCAGGUGUACUUGUAGUCAGCGACGAAGACGAUUCAAGAAGAGGAACAUUGUUGAGAAAGUGAAUGGGACUUGCAAACAGGGUAAGUGUUACAAUUGUGUUUGUUUGAUUUUUACCAUACAUACUUUGCUCUGCUCUGUUUCAGAUUUCACAUGCAGAAAUGGUCUCAUAGCAGUGCCAACAGUGAAUAAGGAUUUUAACUGCUGUGAAACAACUCAACAGAAAGUAGGUAAGCAUUGAAUGAACGCACUUGAGUUGUACAAUUUGAUGUGAUGCUUUUCUCUGUUUCAGAUUCAAGUUCCUGGUGUAGACAGAGAAAUGUGUUUGAAGAAGGAAUUCUACUACUGUGAUUCAACUCUACAGAAGCAAGGUAAGUAGAAACAAAAUUUUGGUUUAAUUUAACUCAUGUGUUUUGCACUGCAUGCUAUUUUUCAGGUCUCUCACGCAGUGAUGGAAAAGAAGAAGAUUUCAAGUAAGAAUCACUGCUGCAACUCAGGCCUAUAACAAGGUAAGUGUUUACUAUAUUGUAUACAAAAUGUUUCUCUGUUUUACUCUGUUUCAGGUUUCAAUUGCAAAGAUGUUGCAGAGAUGUUUUGACAGCUUGAGACAGAAAAGAAAUUCAGCAGCUGUGUCUCGACUCUAGCCACGAGGUAAGUCAAAACAAAUAUACUGGUUUGUAUGUAAUGUUGUUAUGCCAUUCUAUGUUUCAGACUUACAUUGCUGUGACUGUUCCACAGUGGGUCAAAAAAGAGACGAAUACAGGUUUCAAGAAGAAAAUUGGCUGUUGAAAACCUGCACAAAAUAUGAGGUAAGUAAACUACUCUUUUGGUUUGUUUUGUGCUUUGUUAUGCUUAACUAUUUUUCAGAUUGAAAUGGUGGGUCGUUACAGAGCAGACUUUUGGACAACUGAGAAGUUGAGAAACAGAGAAUGAUUCAAGAUCAGCUAGGUAAGUCUUGAUUAUUAUGCAUUGCUAAAUGUUUUUUUCAUUCCAGUAUGGCUGUGGUAAGUACACAAACUUUCUAUAAUUUAAUAUUGAACUGUUUUUAUGACCUGUAUUCUGCAUUGUAAAAUGUCUGUUUUUCAUUUCAGUAUCCUGUGGUAAGUACACUAACUUUGUAUAAUUUCAUAUUGAAAUGUUUUGAUGACUUGUAUCCUGCUAUGCAAUGCUUAAUAUAUUUUUCAUUUCAGUGUGGCUGUGGUAAGUACAAUUGCCUUCUUUAAUUUUCAUAUUGAACUGUUUUGAUGACUUGUAUACUACUAUGCAAUGCUUAAUGUUUUUUUCAUUUCAGUAUGGCUGUGGUAAGUACAAUUGCCUUUUUUAUUUUUCAUAUUGAACUGUUUUGAUGAUUUGUAUACUGCUAUGCAUUGCUAAAUGUUUUUGUCAUUUCAGUAUAGCUGUGGUAAGUACACUAACUUUCUUUAAUUUUUAUAUUGAACUGUUUUGAUGACCUGUAUUCUGCAUUGUAAAAUGUGUUUCUUUUUCAUUUCAGUUGCCUAUUGGUAAGUACAAUUUGCUUUCUUUAAUUGCAUAUUGAAAUAUAUUUUAUGACUUUUGUUCUGCUAUGCUCUUUUUCAUUUUAGUUGGGCAGAUGUAAGUACACUUCAUGCAUGUAAAAACUGAAUAUGAUUGUUGUGCUAUACAAAAUGUGCUUUUUUCAAUUUCAGUUCAGCAAUGGUAAGUAUAUUGUGUUUCUUUAUGUAUAAUUUUGUAUACAUAUUGUUUUUUUCAUCAUAGCAUGUUUUUUAUAUUUAUGCUUUGUGUAAGUAAAAUGUUCAUAAAUCAUUCUUAUCUUUAAACUAAAAAUGUAUUUUGAUAUGCAAAAUGUCUGUAUGAUUUCAGUUGCCAGAGGUGAGUACCAUAACAGUUGAAAAGUUAGUUUUGUUUAGUUCAAGUUUUGGUUCACAGUUUUGUUUGUUAUUUGGCAAAAUUUACAUGUAUGCAUUGAGUCUUGAUUUCAGCUCGAUUGUGGACUGAAGAAGAUUGCCAGCAGAGGGAUUGGAUACAAAAUACAAACUUUACUGCUAGACGAGUGUUCUCUACUACUUGACGAGUCAGCUUUACUACCAGGCGAGCAGUGACAACAAGGCGCCUUUGUGGAAACAACACAACAAAAAACUCUACUGCAAGACGAGCAGUGACAGCAAGGCGCCUGAACAUGCAACACAAAACAAAAAAUGCCAAUUUGCAAACCUUGAUGUGGACACCGAGUAGUCAAUACAUACGUGUGGCGUAUAGCUGCGACAAAACCGUGGGUCCAUCGCACCGAUAACUUGAACAUUGGCCCGUGUAUGGACAUCAGUGCAACUUUGUGAAUCCAUGUAACUUUGUGAAUCCAUGUAACAUUGCGAAUGUGUGUCGAUCGAAAAAUGUGUACAUUCUGCACUGAAACGAACUCGGUGUUGCAAGUGGCAAGUGUUGACAGUGUGUAUGUUUAUGUUUAUGUUUUUACAUGAAAAAUAAAGGAGAUUGUUCUCCUACCUUUUUUUUCCUUGUUUUAUUGUGCUGGCCAGCAAUAUUGAUGUAUUGAUGUAUGUGUUUGUGUUUAAACUAUGCAAUACCAAAAUCAAACAAAAAAUAAACAUUAACAGUCAUUAACUGUGUUUGGGCGGCCGAGGGGUUUAAGACUCCACAAGUGUGAAGCGCACUGAUAGCACUUGGGGGUAAACACCUCGGUAUUUCGGUGCUAAAAUGUUUUCACGGUGCUUAUUUUGACGCACUGUUAGAACUACCAACCAGUAAAUGAUUGCUUGAUUUAUAAAACAAAUAUUCAGUCUCUACUUUGGCACAAGAGACUCUAAGUAUCAAAUACCAACAAUUUAGACGCAGACAAUCACAUGGUGGUACACCAGUCCGAAUAUACUCAUUGCUCUAGCCAGGAUUGCAAAUUACUUGUGUUGACUAGCAAGGCUCCCUAGUAACGGAGCAGUGUUACUGGCGUUUUUUGGGUCGAUAGUGCUUAGGUGAGGUUUUGCUCGAAUCGGGAGCGGGUCACUCGCUUGGGCGAGUUAGUUUUCGCUCGUAGUUUCCAAUCUGGCUAGAUCACUGUAAGGUUGUUUUGACUGCUAUUUGGCAAGCAGAAAGACAACAGCGGUUAAUUGACUGAGUAUGGGCGACCGAGGUAUGUAGGUGUCAAUAGACCGACUCCACAAGUUGCGAAGCGAACCGAUAGCACUUGAGGGGAAACGCCUCGGUUUUCGGUUCUAACAUGUGUUAUCCAUGCUGUCGUUAUACUCUGGCAAGGCUCCUCAAUCUAUCGCGAGGGACACUCAUUAUUGCCCGCAAGCUUUAGAACCUGACGUGGGUCGAUGCGUAUGCGAGUCCGAGGACGCGAUGGCAUUUGAUAAGGCUACCAACCGGUUGAUAACACGCAUUGUUCAAAUUGUUAGGUUUAAGUCUGCUAGGGCUGGGGUGGGAA